UAGACUCGCGACUUGGGGCUGCUGAGGAAGAAGUUUCUUUCGAGUUUUGAGUUUUGACGCCAUGCCCUAGCCGGAGCAACAAGCAAGUCAGACAGGCAAGUUUAAUUUUCUUCUUUUCUUCUUCUAAACUUAGUAUUGUUCCUUUUGCUCCUUUCAAAUGUCAGGCAAUGAGGAUAGACAGAGGAUUAGAUAGAUGGAAGAUUAGAACUUGGACCAUGUUAGUUCAUGAUUUUUUCCUGAUUCCAUGUUUAUAUGCAUAAUUCUUGACUGAUUUCUGUCAGGCAAUUACAAAACCGCUAAAUGGGAUUAGCGGCGCUAUAGCCCGCUAUAGCCUUUCUUAGCCUCUACAGAUACCAGCCGCUAAAAGCCAUAGCCAGCUAUUUUGAACAUUGAAGUGGAGUUGGCCAAUGGAGCUCGAAGCGGUGCGGAUUUGGGUGGCAUAGGCCGACAGAGCUCGGGGCUUCCAACCGCCGCCUCUUGUUCACACCGCCUCCCUACUCUUCAGUGUGCCGCCAUCCACCGUCCCCCUCCUCGUCGCCAAGGUGCUGGGGCAGAUCAGGAUGCCGUCUCCGCCGCUCAUCCUCUAAAGAGUUGCCGCCUACCUCC
rnacentral:lncRNA from 1 species